rnacentral:rRNA from 1 species
CCCUUAGAUGUUCUGGGCCGCACGCGCGCUACACUGUUCGACGCAGCGAGUCUUAACCUUGACCGAAAGGUUUGGGUAAUCUUCAGCAAAGUCGAACGUGAUGGGGAUCGAUCAUUGCAAUUAUUGAUCGUGAACGAGGAAUUCCUAGUAAGUGCAAGUCAUCAGCUUGCGCUGAUUACGUCCCUGCCCUUUGUACACACCGCCCGUCGCUACUACCGAUUGAAUGGUUUAGUGAGAUCUCUGGAUUGACGCUGGCUAGGGGGCGACCCUUGGCCAGACUGUUGAGAAACUGCUCAAAUUUGAUCAUUUAGAGGAAGUAAAAGUCGUAACA